rnacentral:lncRNA from 1 species
UUCAGGGAACUCUGAAUGUACCAUGAAUUAAGAUGGAAGACUGGGUGAUAUGAAUCUACGGGAUAUUUCUGUUCCUAAAAGUAUUGGCUCUGAUAUUUACUUUUGCAAAAGAGAAGAGAUGCAACGAAGGCUUCCUGCCAGAGACAACUUCUCUCCUCCCUACAGGAUAGUCUAUUAAAGCAAUAGCAUAAAUAUUUGGGAAAAAAAUCACAAUUUUCUUCAUUUUAUAAAAGCAAAACAACAAACAAUCAAACAAAAUUGUCAAGAAAAAAUCAUUUCUCAAGCCCUGGAUGAGGCCCACAGCUGAAAACUUUCAUGAUCUCCAUCAGAAAACAAACAGCAUAUAAAGAACUGAGUUCAGCAGCCCUAACUUGGCGGGGGCUUGCUUCCCCACGCCGACUGGCAGGGAUCAUUUUAACAGAAACAGAAACUUUAACUUUAGAACCUGCUGCUCCAAUGUGCUGCAGUUUACGAAGACAAAAAUGUGUGAUGGUAUGGCAGGGACUCUGCUCUGAAGAACAUAACGUGAAAAUGGUAACUAAAUAAAAUUAAAAAUAAUAAGAGCUGCUUUGAAGGAACUGCUGCAGGCUGGGUACGGCAUGUGAUCCUUAGUACAAAUAUCAGUAUAAAAAAGUUUGGAGCCUGACUGAGCUGCAGCAAUAAGGGUGGACAUGAAUUAUAUUUUUUAAAUUAUUUACAACUUCACAGUGUCUGUGGCUUUAAAUUAUUGAUGACAGUGACAGCAACCCUCAAUGAGACAAAGCAUCCACUGAAACAACAGCAGAAAGCUAUGGUGCUGGGGACUGGUUUGGUUCAGCCCUUCCAAUCCUUCUUAUUAAGGAAAAGUGACACUUCUCUCAUGGUAGGAGAGCAGAAAGAAUAGGAAAGAAAAUCAUUUUAAAACAAGAAGUUUCCUGCAAUAUUUUUUGAUUAUAGUGUAUCUCUCAGAACUCUUGGUAUAGCAGAAAAGUUCUAACUGGAUCACUUGCUGCAAAGACCUUGCUGGAUCUUUGCAGCAAGUGACUGCAUAAUGUUUGCUGUAAUACUUUUUUAUACGUGGGGUUAUAACAGACAAAAGGUUCUUGCUGCACUGUGAAGGAUGAGGAAACACUGUUAGAGACACACUAUGGGCCACAUUUGUCACCACCUUUGCCCCAUAGCAUGUUGUCCAGAGCAGUGCAACUCCGCAUCAAGGAAGUACCUCCUAGACAAAGUUAUCAGCUUCUCCAGACUUGAUAGAAGUACUUGCACUUCUCCCUUAUAGCAGCAACCAUCAGGAGACUUGCGAAUAAUCUGUCUUCUUUAUUACUGCCACUCUCUCCUGCUGACCUAUGUGGCUGUAAUCUCCUCAAUCUGUCUCCAUAUAUCUGACUGUUUCCUAAUAAAGUUUUGUCCUGCCAGGUGCA